rnacentral:rRNA from 1 species
AACGCGAAGAACCUUACCUGGGCUCGAACGGCUUAAGAUCGACGGUGGAAACACUGUUUUCCCGCAAGGGACUUGAGUCGAGGUGCUGCAUGGCUGUCGUCAGCUCGUGUCGUGAGAUGUUGGGUUAAGUCCCGCAACGAGCGCAACCCUUGUCCUGUGUUGCCACUCCGUAAGGAAGCACUCGCAGGAGACCGCCAGCGAUAAGUUGGAGGAAGGUGGGGAUGAUGUCAAGUCAUCAUGGCCUUUAUGUCCAGGGCUACACACGUGCUACAAUGGACGGUACAAAGCGCUGCCAACCCGCGAGGGGGAGCUAAUCGCAAAAAACCGUUCUCAGUUCGGAUUGCAGGCUGCAACUCGCCUGCAUGAAGCUGGAAUCGCUAGUAAUGCCGUAUCAGAACGAUGGCGUGAAUACGUUCCCGGGCCUUGUACACACCGCGUGUCU